rnacentral:rRNA from 1 species
AGGGGUAGGAUAGCAAUAUCUGAGACCGGCGCACGGGUGCGUAACGCGUAUGCAAUCUACCUUUUACAGAGGGAUAGCCCAGAGAAAUUUGGAUUAAUACCUCAUAGCAUAACGACCUGGCAUCAGGAUGUUAUUAAAGUCACAACGGUAAAAGAUGAGCAUGCGUCCCAUUAGCUUGUUGGUAAGGUAACGGCUUACCAAGGCUACGAUGGGUAGGGGUCCUGAGAGGGAGAUCCCCCACACUGGUACUGAGACACGGACCAGACUCCUACGGGAGGCAGCAGUGAGGAAUAUUGGACAAUGGGCGCAAGCCUGAUCCAGCCAUGCCGCGUGCAGGAUGAAGCAUCUAUGGUGUGUAAACUGCUUUUAUACGAGAAGAAACACUCCUUCGUGAAGGAGCUUGACGGUAUCGUAAGAAUAAGGACCGGCUAACUCCGUGCCAGCAGCCGCGGUAAUACGGAGGGUCCAAGCGUUAUCCGGAAUCAUUGGGUUUAAAGGGUCCGUAGGCGGUUUGAUAAGUCAGUGGUGAAAUCUUUCGGCUCAACCGAGAAAUGGCCAUUGAUACUGUCAGACUUGAAUUAUUAGGAAGUAACUAGAAUAUGUAGUGUAGCGGUGAAAUGCUUAGAGAUUACAUGGAAUACCAAUUGCGAAGGCAGGUUACUACUAAUGGAUUGACGCUGAUGGACGAAAGCGUGGGUAGCGAACAGGAUUAGAUACCCUGGUAGUCCACGCCGUAAACGAUGGAUACUAGCUGUUGGGA